GGGGAAGUAUGCCAAGGAACUGAAGAGCGUCUAUCAAGAAGAAGCCCCAGCUGUUAUGUGGGCCCUAGUGGAGAGUGGCUGGGGGUUGCCUGAGGCCAUGCUGGGUUGGGUAAACUUGGUAUGUUCACUUCCAUCCAAGAGACCUUUCACCUUGAGGGCUCAAUGAUUAGAAAAACAUCACAGAAGCCAAUGAUUUCUCAUUCUCCAGGGAGCCAGGAAGCAUUUUCUGGGCUAGAUAUCAGGACAAACCCAUGAACUGUGAGAGGUCCUCUUUGCUGAGAGCUCUAUCUGAUCCCAGGAAAUGGAGUGCUGGUUCCAUGUGCUAGAAGACACAACUUCCUGCCAGAAAGAGGAUCUGCGUCUCAUCUCCAUGUGCGCCAGUGUUCAGAUACGGCUGUCCGGGCUUUCAUGGAUGAGUCAUGGCAAUGGCCAAGCCUCAGCUGCAAGUUGCGGUAUACGUGGUGGACUGGAGUUCCAACAACCAGACCUUUGGGGCUGGGGUAAGUUUUUCCUCCUAACUCCUCUGUGUGGGGAACUGAGACAUUUGGCUUCCUGUUAGGAAGUUAAAGCUUGUGGCUGUAGAAGAAGGCCUGACUCUUGGGGAAGCUGCAGAAGUCUUAGAGCUCUGAACAUAGGGCUUUGGACAUGGAGAUUCUUACAUAUGUUCAACAAGUAUCCUUUGUGCCAGGCUCUGUUCUACAUGCUGGCAACAUAGCCUUGAACAAAAGUCACAGAAAUCCCUGCUUUCUUGGAGUUUUCAUGCCACCAGGGGAGACAGACAAUAGACAAUAAGAGUACGUGAAAUACAACAUACAAUAUGCUAAUUACAAGUGAUAAAGAGAAAAAUAAAGCAGGGAAGCGGACUAGCAAAUACUGGGGAACAGAUGUUGUGAUUUCAGAUAAGGUGGCUAAGGAAGGCCUUGACAAGGAAGUAACAUUUGAGUAAAGACCAGAAGCACAAGAGAAGGUGAACAGUGUAGACAUCCGGAGCAAAAGCAUUCUAAGCAGAAGAAUAACUGUAAAGGCCGUUGUUGUGGGUUGAAUUAUUUCCCAUCGCCAAAAGAUAUGUUGAAGUCCUAAGCCCUGGUACAUGUGAAAUGUGACCUUAUUUGAAGACAGGAUCUUUACAGAUCAAGUUAAGAUGAGGUCACUAGGGUGGGCCCUAAUCCAAUAUGACUGGUGUUUUAUGAGAGGACACAGAGACAGAGAGACACAGGGAAAGUGCUGUGGGAUGACAAAAGAGAGAUUUAAGUGAUACAACUGCAAGCCAAGGAAUGCCUAGAGUUGACAGCCACAGCCAGAAUCUCAGAAGAGGCAGGCAAGAGUUCUCUCCUACAGGUUUUAGUGGGAGCAUGGCCCUGGUUAACACCUUGAUUUUGGACUUCUCACCUCCGGAACUGUGAGACAAUAAAUUUCUGUUGUUUUGAGCCACCUAGUUUGUGGUACUUUGCAACGGCAGCCCUAGAAAACUAAUCCAGCCAUGAAAUGGGAAUGUGCCUGGUAUGUUGAAGGAAGAUGGAGGCCAGUGUCGCAUGGGAGGGAGUCAUAAGAGAUUAGAUCAGAGAAGUUACACAACAGAUGGCGAGAUCAUGUGGCACCUUAUGGUCAGAGAUGUGACAUGAUCUGACUUACCCUUUAACGGGCUCACCUAUAGUUAUAACUGUGUGUUAUAUUCAUGGCUGAAGGGAGAUGUAUAGAAGAACCCAGACUAUAUUACGUACACUAGAUAAUCAUAAGAGGUAGGUACCAAAUUGCAUAAAUACUAAAAUCACUGUGCUUAUAAUUAAAUCUUUCAUUUGCUCUUUAGGUAUAUUUUAAUCUGUAAUGUUAAUGUGAAACUAAUUUUUAAAA
ensembl:lincRNA